rnacentral:rRNA from 1 species
AAGGGUGCGUAACACGUGGGCAACCUGCCCGAGAGUUGGGGAUAGCCCGCCGAAAGGCGGAUUAAUACCGAAUGUGGCGAGGGGAGACAUCUCUCUGUAGCUAAAGCCGGGGUCAAACCUGGCGCUCUUGGAUGGGCCCGCGGCCUAUCAGCUAGUUGGUGAGGUAACGGCUCACCAAGGCUAUGACGGGUAGCUGGUCUGAGAGGACGACCAGCCACACUGGAACUGAGGCACGGUCCAGACACCUACGGGUGGCAGCAGUCGAGAAUUUUUCUCAAUGGGGGAAACCCUGAAGGAGCGACGCCGCGUGGAGGAUGAAGGUCUUCGGAUUGUAAACUCCUGUCAUUGGUGAACAAGGCCCACGCAGUAACUGGUGUUGGGUUUGAUAGUAGCCGAAGAGGAAGAGACGGCUAACUCUGUGCCAGCAGCCGCGGUAAUACAGAGGUCUCGAGCGUUGUUCGGAUUCAUUGGGCGUAAAGGGUGCGUAGGCGGCGGGGUAAGUCUGAUGUGAAAUCCCGGGGCUCAACUCCGGAACUGCAUUGGAUACUGCUCUGCUUGAGUACUGGAGAGGAGACUGGA